rnacentral:rRNA from 1 species
UACGAAGGGGGCUAGCGUUGCUCGGAAUCACUGGGCGUAAAGCGCACGUAGGCGGAUCGUUAAGUCAGGGGUGAAAUCCUGGAGCUCAACUCCAGAACUGCCCAUGAUACUGGCGACCUUGAGUUCGGGAGAGGUGAGUGGAACUGCGAGUGUAGAGGUGAAAUUCGUAGAUAUUCGCAAGAACACCAGUGGCGAAGGCGGCUCACUGGCCCGAUACUGACGCUGAGGUGCGAAAGCGUGGGGAGCAAACAGG